UGCUGGAGGUAUCAGAAGUGCGAAUGCUGACAUAAGUAACGAUAAAGCGGGUGAAAAGCCCGCUCGCCGGAAGACCAAGGGUUCCUGUCCAACGUUAAUCGGGGCAGGGUGAGUCGACCCCUAAGGCGAGGCCGAAAGGCGUAGUCGAUGGGAAACAGGUUAAUAUUCCUGUACUUGGUGUUACUGCGAAGGGGGGACGGAGAAGGCUAUGUUAGCCGGGCGACGGUUGUCCCGGUUUAAGCAUGUAGGCUGAUUGUCCAGGCAAAUCCGGAUAAUCAAGGCUGAGGUGUGAUGACGAGGCACUACGGUGCUGAAGUAACAAAUGCCCUGCUUCCAGGAAAAGCCUCUAAGCAUCAGGUAACAUCAAAUCGUACCCCAAACCGACACAGGUGGUCAGGUAGAGAAUACCAAGGCGCUUGAGAGAACUCGGGUGAAGGAACUAGGCAAAAUGGUGCCGUAACUUCGGGAGAAGGCACGCUGGUGUGUAGGUGAAGUCCCUGCGGAUGGAGCUGAGACCAGUCGAAGAUACCAGCUGGCUGCAACUGUUUAUUAAAAACACAGCACUGUGCAAACACGAAAGUGGACGUAUACGGUGUGACGCCUGCCCGGUGCCGGAAGGUUAAUUGAUGGGGUUAUCCGUAAGGAGAAGCUCUUGAUCGAAGCCCCGGUAAACGGCGGCCGUAACUAUAACGGUCCUAAGGUAGCGAAAUUCCUUGUCGGGUAAGUUCCGACCUGCACGAAUGGCGUAAUGAUGGCCAGGCUGUCUCCACCCGAGACUCAGUGAAAUUGAACUCGCUGUGAAGAUGCAGUGUACCCGCGGCAAGACGGAAAGACCCCGUGAACCUUUACUAUAGCUUGACACUGAACAUUGAGCCUUGAUGUGUAGGAUAGGUGGGAGGCUUUGAAGCGUGGACGCCAGUCUGCGUGGAGCCAACCUUGAAAUACCACCCUUUAAUGUUUGAUGUUCUAACGUUGGCCCCUGACCGGGGUUGCGGACAGUGUCUGGUGGGUAGUUUGACUGGGGCGGUCUCCUCCCAAAGCGUAACGGAGGAGCACGAAGGUUAGCUAAUCCUGGUCGGACAUCAGGAGGUUAGUGCAAUGGCAUAAGCUAGCUUGACUGCGAGCGUGACGGCGCGAGCAGGUGCGAAAGCAGGUCAUAGUGAUCCGGUGGUUCUGAAUGGAAGGGCCAUCGCUCAACGGAUAAAAGGUACUCCGGGGAUAACAGGCUGAUACCGCCCAAGAGUUCAUAUCGACGGCGGUGUUUGGCACCUCGAUGUCGGCUCAUCACAUCCUGGGGCUGAAGUAGGUCCCAAGGGUAUGGCUGUUCGCCAUUUAAAGUGGUACGCGAGCUGGGUUUAGAACGUCGUGAGACAGUUCGGUCCCUAUCUGCCGUGGGCGCUGGAGAAUUGAGGGGGG
rnacentral:rRNA from 1 species